UACGGAGGAUCCGAGCGUUAUCCGGAUUUAUUGGGUUUAAAGGGUGCGUAGGCGGUUUGAUAAGUUAGAGGUGAAAUGUCGGGGCUCAACCCCGAAACUGCCUCUAAUACUGUUGGACUGGAGAAUAGUUGCGGUAGGCGGAAUGUAUGGUGUAGCGGUGAAAUGCUUAGAGAUCAUACAGAACACCGAUUGCGAAGGCAGCUUACCAAACUAUAUCUGACGUUGAGGCACGAAAGCGUGGGUAGCAAACAGG
rnacentral:rRNA from 1 species